rnacentral:rRNA from 1 species
CAAUAGCGUAUAUUAAAGUUGUUGCAGUUAAAAAGCUCGUAGUUGGAUUUGUGGCGUACGGUGUGUUCCGGGCACUUGUUGUCUGAGUAACCUGCUGUUGCCAUCCUUGGGUGGAACCUGUGUGGCAUUAGGUUGUCGUGCAGGGGAUGCCCAUCAUUUACUGUGAAAAAAUUAGAGUGUUCAAAGCAGGCUUAUGCCGUUGAGUAUAUUAGCAUGGAAUAAUGAGAUAGGACUUUUUUGCUAUUUUGUUGGUUUGCGCAAAGAGGUAAUGAUUAAUAGGGACAGUUGGGGGUAUUCGUAUUCCAUUGUCAGAGGUGAAAUUCUUGGAUUUUUGGAAGACGAACUACUGCGAAAGCAUUUACCAAGGAUGUUUUCAUUAU